GCCAUUUUCGAGUGGACUCGGAGUGUUGAGAAAAAAAACUGUGGAUCCUCGAAUUUUACUGUGGAUUUUACUGGUUUUCUGGAGUGCUCUCCCACUGAAGCAGUGAUCUGAUUGAGUCCAGAGCUGAUGUGCCUGUGUUCAGAGGUGAGUUGGGAAGGUAAGCUCAUGUCCCACCUGCUCCAAAAUACCUGCAGCAUCUGCAUCCCUCUGGGUAAAUGCAGGUCCCUCUGACACACAUAUCCCUUCCUGACUACUGCAGGUAGUACCUUGGACACAUUCAGGUGAACUCAAAUUACCCUGUUCAGCUGCCAAUUUCUGAUUUGAGUUUCCAAAGCACAAACUAAAGAAGCCAGACUGGCAGAUGGGAUAAUUCAAACAUGGAACUUUUUAUUGUGUAAAAUAUUGAUGCUGUCAUGUCAUAAACAUGCAUAUUUUCUCAGAUACGUAUUUCCCUGCCUGUCCCAAAUUUCCAGUUGCCCAAUACUUGGUGUGACUGUUGAUUUUCCCUCUGUGCUAGAGGCUGGUGGAGGUGUAUUGAGCCCUUGCUUUGAAAAGUCCUCUUUACUGAAGAGAGCUCUUGCCCUUUUUGUUGAACUAAGCAAAAGUCUGGUUUAUAUAAAUAUAAAAACAUUAAUUAAAAUGUGAACCUCAAACACCAUCAAAAUGGAUUCUAAAGCAGAACCUGUUUGCUGUUGCUUUUUUCUUUUGGAUUCAUUUGAAGAGAUGAAAGAAAUAAGAUUGCACAGGUACAGUCAAGUAAAACUUUGUUACAGAAGUAAUUAAUGGUAAUAAUAUGUGGGGGGUGUGAUUUAGCUCAGCACUGGGUACAUGUUUGCUUUGCAGCAAGUAGCAGCUGCUCAUUAGGGAGUUGGCCCUGGUGCUGUCAGUGUUGAGGACACUGAAGUGGUGAAAAUAUACUGCUUUUUUGUUGGCAAAUAUUUGAUUUCAAAUUUGGAAUCGCUUGGCACGGGUCACAAGAGCUUUUGAAAUUCCUAUUUUUCAGUUUGCUCAAGAGGCAGGGACUCGGUGGCACAUUGGGCAUGAGGGGAUGGCACAAGAAUUCAAACCCAAGGCCUCAUUUCUGACAUUGUUCAGGUUUUUUUUGUGAUGCUGCUUUUUAAGAAAAUGAAUUGAAGGAAGUUGUCACAUAACUGGGGGGAGGGGGAGGGUAGGUUGAAAGGAAAUACAAAAAAUAUCAGUCUGUUUGCACUGUGCAGCCCAGGCAGGCUGGUGUGUCAGAGCCACUGGCAGCUGCCUUCUGCAGGGCUGCAGCCCCUCCCUGCCCUGGUACAGCCAGGGAAUGUGGUGAACUUCCAGACAUCUUCAAUUUCUGGUCAUAUAAGGUUUGUCCAUUCACAUUGUAAAUAAGCAUCAUUUAAAAUUUUUUAAAAUAAGGAUUUUUUUCACAUAUCUCAAAAGUGAAAUUGAGCUGAAUGAAAGUAUUUUAAGGAGAAUUUAAUAGGUUUCAAUUGUUGAAAUCUGAAUUUAUUUAUCUGAAAUGUUAACAUUAUGACUUCUGGAAAAUCCUUGAUAGUCAGUGUCCCCUAAGAAAAGUACAAGGUAAUAUUUCCCCACAAACCAGUUGAAAGGGUUGGGAAGUUCUUCACUCUACGGUAGCAAAGGCAACAGAUCUACUGGAUCUGAAAUAUGUUAUUUUUUGGGACCCAAUACUAAAUGUGGUUUGGGGCGGGGGGAGCAGUUAAUUUCUGACCUUGUUUCUGAAACUGGUUUGUUUGCACUGUAUAACUGCUUGUUCUCUUAUAGUUACAGACUGACUGAUAGCCCCUGUGAAGAAAAUAACCCCUGUCCUGUGGUGGUAAUGCAUGCAUGUUAAAUGUCUUCAUUGUAGAGUGUUCUUCACUUCUUUAUAUCAUAGUUUUUUUAAAAAAUUACAUACAUAUAUAUAUUCAAAAUACCAUUUGGAAUGUCAACAUUCAGUGGGCUUUGAGGAGAUGUAGCAGCACAUCAUGGUUUGUAGGGACAAGGAGAUACAGACCAUUCUGGGCUGCCUCAUUACCUCAAGGAUAAGACAAGAAAGUGAGCUUCUGGUUAUCAUAGAUGUGGAAGCUAACACAUUGCCAUGUAUCUCAUUAGCUCAGGUAUGUGUAGACACGUUCUCUUGGUGCUUGUACUGUGCACAUCCUUUGCAGCUACAAAUCCAUCCCCUGUGAGCUCGUGUGUCUGGCCCUGCAGCCAGGAAGGACUAGUAGCUCCUUUUUGUUCUCCAACAUGGCCAUGACCACAUCCUAUUCCAUAUCUACCCCUCAGCCAUUGCUCCUUUCCCUGGCAAAGGAUGGGGCAGGGGCCCCUUGCCUGUGUUUGGGGCAGGGAGGGUCUGGAGGCCGUGCAGAGCUGUCAGCAGUGCUCUAGCAGCACGUAAAUACUGGAGUUUGGGAUUGCCUGUUGCUCUCCAGUAUUGCAUUGCUGCUUUAGUGAGGCUGGAAAUCAGUCCCUGCUGCAGGAGGGGCUCUGGCUCUGGGGGUCCCUGUGUGGCACCCCCACAGUGCUGGGGGCUCCUGGCUCCCCCCCAAUAAACCACUGCGGAGGCAGCAACCCACGAGGGCCGGUGUCGUCAAUGGGGCAGGGCAGGCUGCACCCCAGCACUGCUGCUGGGUGCCCCAGCCAGGGGUGGAGGGGCAGGGGGCACUGCCUGGGGGCAGGAGAUGGUGAUGAGCCCUUCCUGGGUUCUGGGGGAGGGAGCACCUGGGGCAGUGCUGGCCCCUGGGUGCACUCAGAACCUGGGGAGGGGGUGUGGGGGACAGUGGGGGUGCAAGGGCUGGGGGGGACCAGAGCUUCAAUGGCUGAGAGGGAGGGACACCCACUGUGCCUGGGGAAGCCUUGCUGCAGGAGGAUCAUCUUUCCCCAAAUUGCUUCAGGAUACCCCAGCUCAGGCACAGCUGGUGGGGGCUGCCAGUGGCAGCAGCAUCUGGCACCACUUGGGCUGGGGUGGAGAGUUUGGGCCACCUGAGGAAGUGCCUGCAGCUCCACCACUGCAGCAAUGAGCUCCUCCAGUGCCCCACAGUGAAAGGCUUUUCCUUAGCAUUACACCUCUUCAAGCUUCCAAACCCAGCUGGAAUAGGAGUCAGGGAUGCUCCUGGGAGGGGCUGGGGUGGUGCCUGCCUGGUCAAGAUUCAUCUGCUGUGGUGUGAAUGAGCUUGUGGGUCCUGCCAGUGAUGCUGCAUUGUUAACAGCCCCACUCCAGGUGGUUGUGAAUUCCAGAACAUUUGUUUUUUCAGCUAUAUUCAGGAAUUAGUAAAUGACAGUAAUUAGUAAAUUAGUUGUAGGGCAGGGGAAAAUGCUUUUGCUGAUUUGCAGCUUCAAUCCCCACUCCUGCUCUGUGCAGGGAGUGUUGGCACAAAGCACCCCUGGAGCACAAAUGUCUCUGGCGUGGGGAGGUGCAAGGGGGAUGAGUGGGGAGGAGCAGCUUUUAAAAGCCUCUGCCCUCAGAGGGGCAAACUCACAAUGUUUGGGCACACAGCUGAUGCAUUCUAAACCAGACACUGGUAUUCCACUUGUGUCUAAAAUGGUUCAUUCCCACUCUCAACAAGUCAAGCCAUUAAUAGCCAUGUGCCAUACUGCUUUCCCUCAGGAAAAGGGCUUGAGUGACCUGGUUAACAGGGAAAUCGAUCAAUAAAGUUGGUAAUUGUCUGCA